CAUACCGACGGGAAUCAAUUUCGGGGAAGGGGGAUUUUUUUGAACCCAACUCUGGAACGCACUUCUUCGUUUGGUAAGUUAGCGUCGAUUUUGAACGUCAUAAAAUGAUUGGAGGAAGGUAACUCCUUCGGGAGUGUUAUAGCCUUUAAUUAAUGUGAUGUUUGGGAUCGAGGAUUGCAACGGAUACCUUCUUUUAGGCUAGCCGCCUGGCCUCUGAUUCGAUGUUGGGUUAUAGACAGCAUGCUGACUAUGAUCUGAUUAUUGGUCAAAAGGUUAGAGUGAGCAUAAA
rnacentral:rRNA from 1 species